GAUGAACGCUGGCGGCGUGCCUAAUACAUGCAAGUCGAGCGAACAGACGAGGAGCUUGCUCCUCUGACGUUAGCGGCGGACGGGUGAGUAACACGUGGAUAACCUACCUAUAAGACUGGGAUAACUUCGGGAAACCGGAGCUAAUACCGGAUAAUAUAUUGAACCGCAUGGUUCAAUAGUGAAAGACGGUUUUGCUGUCACUUAUAGAUGGAUCCGCGCCGCAUUAGCUAGUUGGUAAGGUAACGGCUUACCAAGGCAACGAUGCGUAGCCGACCUGAGAGAGUGAUCGGCCACACUGUAACUGAGACACGGUCCAGACUCCUACGGGAGGCAGCAGUAGGGAAUCUUCCGCAAUGGGCGAAAGCUUGACGGAGCAACGCCGCGUGAGUGAUGAAGGUCUUCGGAUCGUAAAACUCUGUUAUUAGGGAAGAACAAAUGUGUAAGUAACUAUGCACGUCUUGACGGUACCUAAUCAGAAAGCCACGGCUAACUACGUG
rnacentral:rRNA from 1 species